rnacentral:ncRNA from 1 species
ACACGGGGUGCCGCUUUCAUGAAGCGGCUGAGAACACACCCGUCGAACCUGAUCUGGUCAACACCAGCGUAGGGAUGUC